CCAAUUGGGCCAUAUUUGACGGCACGCCGAUGGAAGAACCACCGCAAGCAGCCAUGGCGUCGGAGGCCGGCGCCGGCGUCGACGCCGACGCGUACCGCAUCCGGCUGCUCGAGCUCGGCGACCUCUCCAGGGGCUUCUGCGACCUCCUCGCGCAGCUCUCCCCCUCCGAGCCCCUCACCGAGGACUCCUUCCGCUCCCGCUUCGCCGAGCUCGCGGCCCUCGGCGCCGACCACCUCGUCCUCGUCGCCGAGGACGCCGGCACGGGCCGCAUCGUCGCCGCGGGGGCGGUGCUGGUGGAGCGCAAGUUCAUCCGGCGCUGCGGCACCGUGGGGCACGUCGAGGACGUGGUGGUGGACGCCGCCGCGCGCGGCCGGGGGCUCGGGGAGCGCGUCGUGCGCCGCCUCGUGGACCACGCGAGGGCGAGGGGGUGCUACAAGGUUAUACUGAACUGCACACCGGAGCUGAGGGGGUUCUACGCCAAGUGCGGAUUCGUGGAGAAGAACGUCCAGAUGGGGCUCUACUUCUGAUCCGCCUCCUCGGAUCUCUUCCUGCUUGAAUUUCGUGGUGGUCUUCUACAUCAUGUGGCACUCGUCUUUCCCCACCAAAAAAAAAAGGGAAAAGAAAAAAAUUGGUGCUAUUUGAGUUGGAGGAUGGUCUUACUGUGUUGGGGUGGUUGAUGCACAAAAGGCUGUGGUGGUUUUUUUAAAUUCAGAGUGUGUAGCUGGCCGGAAGAGUAUGCAUUAUAUUGUCAACAACAACAACACCAACAACGACAAAGCAAUUAGUCCCAAACAAUUCGGAGAGUGCAUGCAUUACUGUCGAAGAGUGAAAAAUUUCUGGAGCGAGGCUUCUGAUAUGAUAUUCAUACUGCCUCGCCUUUUCUGCUUAAAAAUGUUAUUCGGAGA